GGAGACGUGGCCGAGAGGUUGAAGGUACUCCCCUGCUAAGGGAGCAUAUGGCUUAUACCCGUAUCGAGGGUUCGAAUCCCUCCGUCUCCGCCA
rnacentral:tRNA from 1 species